rnacentral:rRNA from 1 species
AUUGAACGCUGGCGGAAUGCUUUACACAUGCAAGUCGAACGGUAGAGGGGGCAACCCCUCGAGAGUGGCGAACGGGUGAGUAAUAUAUCGGAACGUGCCCAGUCGUGGGGGAUAACGUAGCGAAAGUUACGCUAAUACCGCAUACGAUCUAAGGAUGAAAGCGGGGGAUCGCAAGACCUCGCGCGAUUGGAGCGGCCGAUAUCAGAUUAGGUAGUUGGUGGGGUAAAGGCUCACCAAGCAAACGAUCUGUAGCUGGUCUGAGAGGACGAGCAGCCACUCGGGAACUGGGACACGGUCCAGACUCCUACGGGAGGCAGCAGUGGGGAAUUUUGGACAAUGGACGCAAGUCUGAUCCAGCCAUUCCGCGUGCAGGAUGAAGGCCCUCGGGUUGUAAACUGCUUUUGUACGGAACGAAAAGGUCUCUCUUAAUACGGGGGGAUCAUGACGGUACCGUAAGAAUAAGCACCGGCUAACUACGUGCCAGCAGCCGCCGUAA